GACGAACCGUACGAACGUUAUUCGGAAUUACUGGGCGUAAAGCGUGCGCAGGCGGCUUUGCAAGACAGAUGUGAAAUCCCCGGGCUUAACCUGGGAACUGCAUUUGUGACUGCAUGGCUGGAGUGCGGCAGAGGGGGAUGGAAUUCCGCGUGUAGCAGUGAAAUGCGUAGAUAUGCGGAGGAACACCGAUGGCGAAGGCAAUCCCCUGGGCCUGCACUGACGCUCAUGCACGAAAGCGUGGGGAGCAAACAGG
rnacentral:rRNA from 1 species